AAAGGGUUAUAUCAACUCACCUCAAAACUUCUCGAGCCAAUACGUAGUCCCAGUCAAAUUGACACCAGUCAACCAAUCGAUUCUACAACAACCAGUAUAUUUUAAUCAAUUUUAAAGUACUACACCUAAAUAUGAAAUUUAUUGUUGAUAUAGAGGAAGAAGGGAAUUAGCUAUUCAAUUCUUACAUAUUACUACUUUAGGAUAAUUGAGAAUAGGGAAUUUUAUAUACCUGAAUUUAAGAAUUAAUGAUUUGUAAAGAACCCUAGAAUCUUUCCGUAUUAUCUGCGUGAAAUAUUUCCUGGGUUUGCUGCCUCUAUUGCGUUACUCUCUAUUCUAGUCUAUAGGAUUUUUUUCCUGCUUUCGUUACUCUCUGUUCUAGAGUGAACAGUAGAUUUUUAUGUGCAAAGGAACCCCUUUUUUGGUCCCAACAGCCCUUUAUGGGCUUUUAGGUUCACGUUUUCCCUUCUUUCUUUUUU
rnacentral:lncRNA from 1 species